rnacentral:rRNA from 1 species
UGUAAGUAAAAAAUGUACAAGUCUCCGUUGGGAACCAGGGAGGGAUCAUUCCGAGUUUACAACUCCCAAACCCAAUGUGACGUUACAAUCUGUUGCCUCGGCGGGAUUCUCUUGCCCCGGGCGCGKCGCAGCCCCGGAUCCCAUGGCGCCCGCCGGAGGACCAACUCCAAACUCUUUUUUCUYUYCGUCGCGGCUCCCGUCGCGGCUCUGUUUUAUUUUUGCUCUGAGCCUUUCUCGGCGACCCUAGCGGGCGUCUCGAAAAUGAAUCAAAACUUUCAACAACGGAUCUCUUGGUUCUGGCAUCGAUGAAGAACGCAGCGAAAUGCGAUAAGUAAUGUGAAUUGCAGAAUUCAGUGAAUCAUCGAAUCUUUUGAACGCACAUUGCGCCCGCCAGUAUUCUGGCGGGCAUGCCUGUCCGAGCGUCAUUUCAACCCUCGAACCCCUCCGGGGGGUCGGCGUUGGGGAUCGGCCCCUCACCGGGCCGCCCCCGAAAUACAGUGGCGGUCUCGCCGCAGCCUCUCCUGCGCAGUAGUUUGCACACUCGCACCGGGARCGCGGCGCGGCCACAGCCGUAAAACACCCCAAACUUCUGAAAUGUUGACCUCGGAUCAGGUAGGAAUACCCGCUGAACUUAAGCAUAUCAUAGGCCGGAAGGAA